rnacentral:misc_RNA from 1 species
ACUGUGCACCUUGUUCCGCGCUGCUCUGGAUGUAGAGGGCACACAAAUUGAUUAAUAUUACUGCACCAUGAUGCGACGUAAAUGUUGUCUGUUUCUGUUGUUAGCAAAUGUGCUUGUGUUUAUUGUUUUAUACAUGAACACUCAACUGGGAACAACUGCACAUGCUGUCCAGGAAGAUUCAACAAACUUCUUCUUUCGGAUGAAAAAUAUACUAAAUGAUAUCAACGACAGGAUUAAAACGGAAAAUUAUCCAGGCAGAUGUGAAGAUGAUCUAGAAUUACUCAUAUUAGUUCCAAGUUCGAUGUGGAAUUUUAAGCAUAGAGAGGCCAUCAGAAAAACCUGGGGAAACAAAAAUAGCUCUGAUGCAAAAACACGGUUGUUGUUUUUCACGGGAACAUCACUUUCAAAUAAAACAUUUCAACAAAUGUUUAAGGAUGAACAAGGACAAUUUCAAGAUAUCGUACAGAAGAUGUGUACUUGAAUGGAAUAUGCCGUGAAAGAAUUGGAGCAGAAGCCAUUCAUCUUUCAGGCUUUGAUACAGCAAGAAGCAGAGGAAAGGUUAAUGGACGAUCAUUUGAGAAACGACUAACAGGACAUCAUUUUUCUCCAAAGGAUAUUAUACUCAUGUGGGAUGAACUUAAGACAGUUCUAAAACCACCCCGUUCUGUAGAUACACAAUGAUAUAAUUCUGCAACCAAAAAUCAGAUACUUAAACACAGGUAUUUUAACAUGUAAACGAAAUUGCACAAAACGUAAGUGCAGAUUAUGUAUAUAAAACUUCGAUCUAUACAAAGAGCGCCCUGGGCAUACACUAUCAUAAUUCAUACGAAAGUUGAUAAAUAACAACAAAAACCAACGUGGUUGAAACAAAUCAAUAUCUGAUAGCUCAUGAAAAAUCGAUUUCAUGGUUAUCUCCGCAUCUGCAGAGGAGGACAACUUGCCAAUCUCAGACAAACAAGGCUGACAAUUUUUAACAUAUUUUAUCAAUGCUUACUAUCUAUUCAAGAUGAAUCUUUGUACUCAGGUAAUAUUUACACAACUGCGCUGAAAAAUAUAGUUCUAUUCAUAAUCAGCAGAUACAUUACAACACAUUUGAGAGUAUCGAUAUAUCAUGUAAUACGUGUUAGAAAAUAAAUUAACGUAAAAUUAAUUUUAAAAAGCACCCUUUCCCAAGAAAUAUAAAUGUGAAGCAUUUCCUACGCUAGCUGCCUCCUCAGUCUGUUUCACGAAAACAUAGAUCAUUCUUCAACUGACAAUUUUUUCACUAAUGAAUUUGUAUAUAUUAAAAAAUAAAUAUAUUA